GACAAACUUAAAUGUCUAGAUUGCUGGUAAAGAUCUCACUUGAGGGGAAUGAACCUAGAUGAGUGGGUGGCACCAAUACCAGGUCUUCCAUGCUUCACUGGCUUGUAUGAGAUUGAGAACUCCGCCAAAUAAUGCCCAAUCAUUUCCGGUUUGAUUUCAACCUGAUUGAAGGUCUUCCCAUUGUACACGCCAAUAAUGCUUCCAAUCAUUUCAGGUACGAUGAUCAUAUUGCGCAGAUGGGUUCUGACUGGUUCUGGCUUCUCACCAGGUGGGGCCUCACGUUUCUGAUUCAAAACAUUACCACAAAAAUCAGUCAAGGCUGAAGCAAGUUUCUAUAACCCUCGUAACUCAUAAUUGACUAUUAACAAAAUACUACAGAAAAUUGUUGAUGCUCCUGAAAAACAGUCCAGCCAAAUCAUGAUACUUCUGUGAAUUUGAUUGCAAGAAACCAUACUAAAAGAUAAUAUCAAAAAAGAAUUGAUCUAAAAGAGGCAAAAAUUGAGGAUCUUACAUAUAAAAAUUUCAUCCCUUAUCAUCUCUAGCAACAAUGGAAGAACACUGUCAUAUUGAGACCACAUUGCACAUUUUCCCAGGUAUUGAAUCAAGGCCAUAAAGCGCCUACUGAGUUUUGAAUCAAAGGAUUCUAACAUAUAUGCCAACCAUGUGGCGAUGGGAAUAAAGACAGAUUCAAGAGAGUUAACAGAAACAUAGCUCAAAUGGAUUUUCAAAAGAUAGUUAGCAUUAAGAUUCAUAGUCUUGUAGAUUCUGCAUAUCAAAUAGUCUUUUGGAGAUGAACCCUAGCUUAGCAAAGCUCAUCACUAUUUCUUUACCACCUGAAAUUAUAUGAACAUUCCAAGUUCUCCCUCUCAGAAACAUGAAGCAUUGAGUCAAGAGAGACUGUACUGACAUAAAGGAUUUCUCUUUACAUAUGAAUUCAUUUAGAUUCUAAUAAUAUCUGUUGAAGAUAUUCUUCACAAAUUUAGCCUCCUGUUCAGCAUGGAAUGUAGAUCGUGUUCUCUUCAAAUCCACCAGCAAGGGCAAUUCUAAAGAGCCCUUUCACUUCACAAUACCAAUCAAUGCCUCAUCCCCCUCCAAACAAGACCCCUUUUCUAAGUUUCAAAUGUAUCACACACAUUUUAACUUCACAAUUACACACCAACAUAAUAAUAAUAAUGAUGAUGAUGAUAACUAGAUCCUUGUUCAUAAGCUGCAAGCGUAUUACUCACACAUUGCUCUUCACUUUCACAAAGACAAAAAAAAACAAAUUAACAGCACUCUUUAUAGUAUAUUUUCUUCUAUCCAGUAAUUUCAUUGUCCUAAGGAUCCAAGGCUUGGGAUGUCUCCACUCCACAACUGUAGGCAUACUAAUAUAAAUAUGAAAAUAGUGCUCAUGCCCAACAUGAAUACUUCGAUCGGAACCAAAAUCAUCCAUGUUCUUUUUGAGCAUAUUUUCACAAACAUAACUCCCAAGCAUCUUGGCACAGAAUACAAAGAGCAUAUCAUUCAAGCUUCUGAUCACCUAAAAAGUUCUCAUGAGAACAAUUCACCAAUCUGUAACAUCCUGCCUUAAAAUGCUUCAACAUUACCUCAAAUAAGAUCUGCCCACGCAUGCUCCACAAGUACCAAAACAGUCCACUGAAUUUGAUGCACACUCUCCAGACUUACAUAGGCCAACACUCCACACAUUAACUUCAAAAAACAGAGGAUCAGCCUGUGUACUACACAAACCCACAUUCUUCCUUCCAAACUUUCACUUUAUCAUUUGAGUUCAAGAACUAAGCCAUAGUUCUCAGAAUUUCACUAGCACACUACUUUAACUUUGUCUUGCAUGUUUUGAUUACAUUUAUCUUAUAUCCAUUCGCAACAGUCAUAUCUAAUAAUGAACAGAGGAUACAGGAAAUAGAGUGGUUCUAACACAGUAUACUAACAGUAUAAAUGACACAACAACUAACUAUGAGGGCUGCCCAAAAGAAACCCAUCUAAUUUAGUUUAUUUCUAAUACCAUAUAUAUAUAUAAAAGCUUUAACUAAACCGAGCAAUAUAUCACAGCAUCCAACUUUGAAAUAUCCCCUUUACACCACCAUCCUUCUUCAAAUCAAAGGCAACAACAUACUUAUUCAGAUAUCUCAACCACUCAAAUCAUACACACAUUCUAACUGCAUCACCAAACAACUCAGGAUCCAGUCCUGGUUCAGAAAAAGAGAUCAAGGUGAGGGAAAUGCUGAAAAAAAAAGGUUCGGUUCUCAGUUUCCCUUCAAACUAAAUUCUCCCCCACAGCAUUGAAAUCUUAAAUUCUAUGAAAUAAAGGCAAAAUAAAAGAGUGAAUUAUUUUUAGAAACUCAAACGAAUUAAGAUAUGAGACUGCUAGAACCCUAUCAUCAAGUCCACAAUUGCAAGAUCCACUGAUAGUAAAGAAAAAUGAAAAAAAAGGAGAAAAC
rnacentral:lncRNA from 1 species